CGGACUGUUUCGGGGUGCAGGAUCUGCCAAGGCGCCCAUUCCGGGAUUCGGUGCUCGUCGCCGCUUUCGCGGGGCCAGGAAGGCGAACGCAGCUUAGCUGGCAACUUCCAGCUCAGUGUCUCAAGAGGUUGCAGCCAGGGUGGUGGCCGGCGCCACGGUCGCCUGAGAGCUUGCCUGGGGGUAGAGGAUUGGCUUCCGAGAAGGCUCCCUGACACGGCUCUUGUCUCAAGGCCUCAGUUCCCGUCCAUGUAGACCUUUCCACGGGGCUGACAUGCAGUUGGCUUGCCUCAGAGCCACUCUUGAAGAAUGCGCCGGACGGAUGGUUUCACAGCCACCUUAGGGAGAGAAACCAUUAGCCCCAUUUGACGGAUGAGAAAAUGGAGGCUCAGGAAGGAGAGAGAUUUUGCCGGAGGGCACAGAGCCGGUUGGUGACUGACACAGCCAGAAUGUAAGCCCUUUGCUACCUUAAAACCUGACCCCGGCUUUUUCCAGCACUUGGUGUGUGGACGGGUCGGGGGGGGGGCUUCAUUGUUAGGGAAAGACCCCCCCAGCCCCCAGAGCUUGGGGGAGGCCUCGGGAGCCUACGAAGUUGUCUGUCAACUGAGCUACCUUCUCUGCUCCAGAGACAAGGAAGCCAGGGCCUCUGGGCCCAGCUGCCACCCACACAGGACUAUUUUUACCCUCCACCUCAGUGACAAGUCUGCAUCUUCCAGCUCUGGAAAGGCCAUCUGGGCAGUCUGGCUGUCCCAGGAAGAGCAUCUACCCUGAGGCCACCGUUGAUGCCCUGCUGUCCCCUGCAGCUGUUUUUAGAUGAACCUUUAGCUUUCUGGCAUGUCAUGGCUGCCCAGGGUCAGUCAGGUGCCUCCCUCGCCUGGAUUCAGAGGUUAAUAAAACUAGUGUGAUAAUAAAAAGUAU